GACGAACGCUGGCGGCGUGCUUAACACAUGCAAGUCGAACGGAAAGGCCCUGCUUUUGUGGGGUGCUCGAGUGGCGAACGGGUGAGUAACACGUGAGUAACCUGCCCUUGACUUUGGGAUAACUUCAGGAAACUGGGGCUAAUACCGGAUAGGAGCUCCUGCUGCAUGGUGGGGGUUGGAAAGUUUCGGCGGUUGGGGAUGGACUCGCGGCUUAUCAGCUUGUUGGUGGGGUAGUGGCUUACCAAGGCUUUGACGGGUAGCCGGCCUGGGAGGGUGACCGGCAAUGUUGGGACUGAGCUACGGCCCAGACUCCUACGGGAGGCAGCAGUGGGGAAUAUUGCAAAAUGGCCGGAAGCAUGAUGCAGCAACGCCGCGUGCGGGAUGACGGCCUUCGGGUUGUAAACCGCUUUCGCCUGUGACGAAGCGUGAGUGACGGUAAUGGGUAAAGAAGCACCGGCUAACUACGUG
rnacentral:rRNA from 1 species